rnacentral:rRNA from 1 species
UGAGGAAUAUUGGUCAAUGGGCGCAAGCCUGAACCAGCCAAGUAGCGUGCAGGAAGACGGCCCUAUGGGUUGUAAACUACUUUUAUACGAGAAUAAUUUGAUGCACGUGUGCGUUAUUGCAUGUAUCGUAUGAAUAAGGACCGGCUAAUUCCGUGCCAGCAGCCGCGGUAAUACGGAAGGUCCAGGCGUUAUCCGGAUUUAUUGGGUUUAAAGGGAGUGUAGGCGGUUUGUUAAGCGUGUUGUGAAAUUUAGAUGCUCAACAUUUAACUUGCAGCGCGAACUGUCAGACUUGAGUACACGCAACGUAUGCGGAAUUCAUGGUGUAGCGGUGAAAUGCUUAGAUAUCAUGAAGAACUCCGAUUGCGAAGGCAGCAUACGGGAGUGUAACUGACGCUUAAGCUCGAAGGUGCGGGUAUCGAACAGGAUUAGAUACCCUGGUAGUCCGCACAGUAAACGAUGGAUGCCCGCUGUUAGCGCCUGGCGUUAGCGGCUAAGCGAAAGCAUUAAGCAUCCCACCUGGGGAGUACGCCGGCACGGU